GUUUUAAAUUAUAACCUGGUCUCUCUCCCUUAGCCAUACAAAAAGGAGAGUUCUGUAGAAGGAGCAGAAUGGACUCUGAACUACAUGGAAUUCUGAACUGAAGGCAAAGCAGCAUUACUUUUCAGAUCUGUUUUACUUCAAAGAUUCUGAUUUACAUGCUUCUGGAAGGAUCACCUGUAAGGACAGAGCUGACUCAAGAUGGGUGAACUGAACAAAGGUGAGCCUGUGAAACCUUUUUGAAAGUCUUAUGCAUAUGUGUGUCAAUUUAUACCUGGCUGUUAUUGC
rnacentral:lncRNA from 1 species